rnacentral:rRNA from 1 species
CCUACGGGAGGCAGCAGUCGAGGAUCUUCGGCAAUGGACGCAAGUCUGACCGAGCAACGCCGCGUGUGCGAUGAAGGCCUUCGGGUUGUAAAGCACUGUCGAGGGGAAACAAGCCGUAAGGUUGAGUGACCCCUGGAGGAAGCACGGGCUAAGUUCGUGCCAGCAGCCGCGGUAAGACGAACCGUGCAAACGUUAUUCGGAAUCACUGGGCUUAAAGGGCGCGUAGGCGGGUAAUCAAGUCAAUGGUGAAAUCCUCCAGCUUAACUGGAGAAGUGCCUUUGAUACUGGUUGUCUAGAGGGAGGUAGGGGCAUGUGGAACUUCAGGUGGAGCGGUGAAAUGCGUAGAUAUCUGAAGGAACGCCAGUGGCGAAAGCGAUGUGCUGGACCUCUUCUGACGCUGAGGCGCGAAAGCUAGGGGAUCAAACGGGGAUUAGAUACCCCCGGGUAGUCCUAGCCCUAAACUAUGGGUACUAGAUUGUGGACUUUCAUGGGUUCACAGUCGAAGCAAAAGUGUUAAGUACCCCGCCUGGGGAGUAUGGUCGCAAGGCUGAAACUCAAAGGAAUUGACGG